GUCCCGUUAACGAGCGCAACCCUUGUCCUUAGUUACCAGCACGUUAUGGUGGGCACUCUAAGGAGACUGCCGGUGACAAACCGGAGGAAGGUGGGGAUGACGUCAAGUCAUCAUGGCCCUUACGGCCUGGGCUACACACGUGCUACAAUGGUCGGUACAAAGGGUUGCCAAGCCGCGAGGUGGAGCUAAUCCCAUAAAACCGAUCGUAGUCCGGAUCGCAGUCUGCAACUCGACUGCGUGAAGUCGGAAUCGCUAGUAAUCGUGAAUCAGAAUGUCACGGUGAAUACGUUCCCGGGCCUU
rnacentral:rRNA from 1 species